UCCUACGGGAGGCAGCAGUGGGGAAUAUUGGACAAUGGGGGGAACCCUGAUCCAGCCAUGCCGCGUGUGUGAAGAAGGCCCUCGGGUUGUAAAGCACUUUCAGCGAGGAAGAACGCCUAGCGGUUAAUACCCGCUAGGAAAGACAUCACUCGCAGAAGAAGCACCGGCUAACUCCGUGCCAGCAGCCGCGGUAAUACGGAGGGUGCAAGCGUUAAUCGGAAUUACUGGGCGUAAAGCGCGCGUAGGUGGCUUGAUAAGCCGGUUGUGAAAGCCCCGGGCUCAACCUGGGAACGGCAUCCGGAACUGUCAAGCUAGAGUGCAGGAGAGGAAGGUAGAAUUCCCGGUGUAGCGGUGAAAUGCGUAGAGAUCGGGAGGAAUACCAGUGGCGAAGGCGGCCUUCUGGACUGACACUGACACUGAGGUGCGAAAGCGUGGGUAGCAAACAGGAUUAGAUACCCUGGUAGUCCACGCCGUAAACGAUGUCGACCAGCCGUUGGGUGCCUAGCGCACUUUGUGGCGAAGUUAACGCGAUAAGUCGACCGCCUGGGGAGUACGGCCGCAAGGUUAAAACUCAAAUGAAUUGACGG
rnacentral:rRNA from 1 species